rnacentral:rRNA from 1 species
CAGCCGCCGCGGUAAUACGGAGGGCGCGAGCGUUGUCCGGAUUCACUGGGCGUAAAGCGUCCGUAGCCGGGCUGGUAAGUCCUCCGGGAAAUCUGGUCGCUUAACGAUCAGACUUCCGGAGGAUACUGCUGGCCUAGGGACCGGGAGAGGCCGAGGGUAUUCCCGGGGUAGGGGUGAAAUCCUGUAAUCCCGGGAGGACCACCUGUGGCGAAGGCGCUCGGCUGGAACGGGUCCGACGGUGAGGGACGAAGGCCAGGGGAGCGAACCGGAUUAGAUACCCGGGUAGUCCUGGCUGUAAACGAUGCGGGCUAGCUGUUGGGUGGGCUUAGAGCCCACCCAGUGGCGCAGGGAAGCCGUUAAGCCCGCCGCCUGGGGAGUACGGCCGCAAGGCUGAAACUUAAAGGAAUUGGCGGG